CAGGCCUAACAAUGCAAGUCGAACGAGAAGCACGCCUUCGGGUGUGUGGAGAGUGGCGAAGGGUGAGUAACGCGUGGGCACCUGCCCUCUGGUACGGAAUAACCCCGGGAACUGGGGCUAAUACCGUAUGUACCGGCCGAGGUGGUACUUGGCCGGGAAGAUUCAUCGCCGGAGGAUGGGCCCGCGUCCGAUUAGCGUGUUGGUGGGUAACGGCCUACCAAGGCGACGAUCGGUAGCUGGUCUGAGAGGAUGAUCACCACACUGGGACUGAGACACGGCCCAGACUCCUACGGGAGGCAGCAGUGGGAAUAUUGGACAAUGGGGGCAACCCUGAUCCAGCCAUGCCGCGUGAGUAAGAAGGCCUUAGGGUUGUAAAACUCUUUCACCGGUGAAGAUAAUGACGUAGCCGGAGAAGAAGCCCCGGCUAACUCCGUGCCAGCAGCCGCGGUAAU
rnacentral:rRNA from 1 species